rnacentral:rRNA from 1 species
AGAACGAACGCUGGCGGCAUGCCUAACACAUGCAAGUCGAACGAGACCUUCGGGUCUAGUGGCGCACGGGUGCGUAACGCGUGGGAAUCUGCCCUUGGGUUCGGAAUAACAGUUAGAAAUGACUGCUAAUACCGGAUGAUGUCUUCGGACCAAAGAUUUAUCGCCCAGGGAUGAGCCCGCGUAGGAUUAGGUAGUUGGUGGGGUAAUGGCCCACCAAGCCGACGAUCCUUAGCUGGUCUGAGAGGAUGAUCAGCCACACUGGGACUGAGACACGGCCCAGACUCCUACGGGAGGCAGCAGUGGGGAAUAUUGGACAAUGGGCGAAAGCCUGAUCCAGCAAUGCCGCGUGAGUGAUGAAGGCCUUAGGGUUGUAAAGCUCUUUUACCAGGGAUGAUAAUGACAGUACCUGGAGAAUAAGCUCCGGCUAACUCCGUGCCAGCAGCCGC